AUCCUUCGGCUGUUCUUAUGUACAAUGCGUGUUUUCAUGCCACUGUGUGAGAUCUGCCUCCCCAAACCUUGUUGCAGUGUGAGCACAUUACCAGUCAGAUG